rnacentral:rRNA from 1 species
CACGCCGUAAACGAUGAGUACUAGGUGUAGGAGGUAUCGACCCCUUCUGUGCCGCAGUAAACACAAUAAGUACUCCGCCUGGGAAGUACGAUCGCAAGAUUAAAACUCAAAGGAAUUGACGGGGGCCCGCACAAGCAGCGGAGCAUGUGGUUUAAUUCGAAGCAACGCGAAGAACCUUACCAGGCCUUGACAUCCAAUGAACUUUCUAGAGAUAGAUUGGUGCCUUCGGGAACAUUGAGACAGGUGC